AUUUGUGGGUUUUUUUUUUUUUUUUUCAGACAAUCACUAAUUCCGAGGCUUGCCAUGAAAUAAAUUAUUCUGAGAGAAAACUCGGAGCUUAAGUGGAUGUGUGCAUCCUCUCCGCCAUCUUGGCUGCAAGUUCCCCCCAAAACCUUUUUCUAAAGCAAGGAUAAAAGAUGUUGUGUCUAGUUCAGAUGGAUCUGAAUCGGUCCCUGUUCGGGCGCCAAAAUGCCUCAAAACGCAGCCAGGUGAUAAAAGUUCAGAUCUUUUAUUAUUUCCAAUAUAGCCCGGUUAGCUUAGAGGCCUAUCUCUCUGCUUGGUUCCAAGAGUUCUCUCCGAAUGUUGCCAAAUCCAAAGGUCUGGUCCUUCAGCCUCUGCCUCUGCUUUCUUCAGCCUCCAGCCAGCUCCAACUCUUCAUGUCAUUCCGGUGAAAUCUCGACUUGUAGCGUCUUCACUCUCAAGAACUUCUUCGACUGGCCCAUUGGCCUAUUUAUGCUCCUUCCAGAGAGAGGGAUUAUGGGUUUUCUCCCAUAGUGCUCUCUGGCCCAAAGAGCUUCAAGGGAGAGUCAAUUUAAGUCUCAUCAAUUCCAUGAAGCCUCAUCUCUAGUUCACUAACUUCUCCCACCAGCUGAUGAUUGCCAAGGUUAUCCACUGCAUCCAGGGCUGUUUCUAGUCUUUUUGAUUUCUGCCUCACCACUGGAUUUACAUAAUGUUGGAAGAAUGAAGCUGACAACUUUGUAUGAAAAUGCCUAACUUAAAUCCAAUGUUUUUGAGAACUCCUGCUCUAACACAUGAUUUUAUAGAUCACAAAAUAAAUGAUUCUACCAGGUAUGAUAUACUAUAAUAAAAGAAAAUAUCAAAAAUAGUCCUGAUUGAGUACUCCUAUAAGUUGCACCCUAGGCAACUGUCUUGUUUGCUCCUACUCCCAGCUCUUUUAUAUUCAAACAUCCUUUAGUUUAAGGAAGUUCCAUAUUAGACUUGGCCAAAGUCUCCUUAGUACAUAAAGCUAAUUAACUGUUCUAAUUUUAAAAGGCUUGUAAUGAACUGUAAUAUUUAAGAUGACUAUCACUUCUGUUAGAAAAUCUGAGAUUUCUCUUUAUCUUAAUAUUUAAUUGCCAACACACCCAUAUCACUGUUUGAAGAAAAACAGAUUGAUCUGAAAUGAAUAUAAUUUGGGGAUUACAUGGUAUGUUUCUCCUUUUUCAACUUUGGGUCAAUCAGAGGUUGAUUUCAGUUCAUUAACAAGGCUGCAUCAUACACUCACCAUUUUACCACAGACAAAAGAAUCUUGUUUCUCCCCUUGUCCUCUCCCCCUCCCAAUACCCAAGUGUACUCCAAAUUCAGAAUCUCAUUUGCACCAAGCUAUUUGGAGCCUUGAUGGUAUAUUAUAUGCAUCCAGGACACAGAGGUUUUAUUUGGUAACUAUACAUAUAAACAACUAUGAAAUUAGGUGACUUGCACUUUCAGGCAUAAAUAUACUUUACAUGAUUUCAUUUUAACUUCACAAUAACCUAUGAAGUUGUUAUUCUUACAGAUGGGAUAAGUGAGAGGUUUCAUUUAACCUAGUUCUGAGGGAUUCUAGGUUAGUCACUGAAUGAAUAGGAUAGUGGGAAUGGCAUGUGGUAGGAGUCACUUUUAUUUUGGAUUAGAAUGCAAAAAGAAUUAUUUUUUAAAAGAAUAAAGUUGCUACAAACUUCAUACUUGGGUUUCCCAGCAAAAUUCCCUGUAACUUAGACUAUCUGAGGCAAAAUUGUGGAACUACAGUCAUGGAAAACAGUCAUUUAUGUUGUCGUUUUCUACUACUAUGAUGACUAUGACUAUGAGUAUGACUACCACUAUUACCACUCAAUUGAAGUACUCCCUUUUAUGUAAAGUCUUUUCUGACUCUUCUUAAUUCUAGCACUUUCCCACUUAUAUUUCCUAUUUAUAUAUUAUGUUUGCAUAUAUUUGUUGUCUCCCCUACUGGAUAGGGACUGUGUACCUCUUUUUGUAUUCUCAGAUCUCAGUACAAGGCCUGACAGACUGUAAAUGAUUAAUAAAUCUUGAAUGAUAAUAAACAGGUUAUUUUAAUUUU